GACGAACGCUGGCGGCGUGCCUAAUACAUGCAAGUAGAACGCUGAAGAGAGGAGCUUCCUCUUCUUGGAUGAGUUGCGAACGGGUGAGUAACGCGUAGGUAACCUGCCUUGUAGCGGGGGAUAACUAUUGGAAACGAUAGCUAAUACCGCAUAACAAUGGAUGACACAUGUCAUUUAUUUGAAAGGGGCAAUUGCUCCACUACAAGAUGGACCUGCGUUGUAUUAGCUAGUAGGUGAGGUAAUGGCUCACCUAGGCGACGAUACAUAGCCGACCUGAGAGGGUGAUCGGCCACACUGGGACUGAGACACGGCCCAGACUCCUACGGGAGGCAGCAAUAGGGAAUCUUCGGCAAGGGGGGCAACCCUGACCGAGCAACGCCGCGGGAGUGAAGAAGGUUUUCGGAUCGUAAAGCUCGGUUGUAAGUCAAGAAAGGGUGUGAGAGUGGAAAGUUCACACUGUGACGGUAGCUUAACAGAAAGGGACGGCUAACUACGUG
rnacentral:rRNA from 1 species